GAUGAACGCUAGCUAUAGGCUUAACACAUGCAAGUCGAGGGAAACGGCAUUAUGUGCUUGCACAUUUUGGACGUCGACCGGCGCACGGGUGAGUAUCGCGUAUCCAACCUUCCCUCCACUCGGGGAUACCCCGUUGAAAGACGGCCUAAUACCCGAUGUUGUCCACAUAUGGCAUCUGACGUGGACCAAAGAUUCAUCGGUGGAGGAUGGGGAUGCGUCUGAUUAGCUUGUUGGUGCGGGUAACGGCCCACCAAGGCUACGAUCAGUAGGGGUUCUGAGAGGAAGGUCCCCCACAUUGGAACUGAGACACGGUCCAAACUCCUACGGGAGGCAGCAGUGAGGAAUAUUGGUCAAUGGACGUAAGUCUGAACCAGCCAAGUAGCGUGCAGGAUUGACGGCCCUAUGGGUUGUAAACUGCUUUUGUUGGGGAGUAAAGUGGGGCACGCGUGCCUUUUUGCAUUUACCCCUCGAAUA
rnacentral:rRNA from 1 species